CCUUUAGAGAUAGAGGAGUGCCUUCGGGAGCGCUGAGACAGGUGCUGCAUGGCUGUCGUCAGCUCGUGUUGUGAAAUGUUGGGUUAAGUCCCGCAACGAGCGGCACAAGCCGGCGAGCAUGUGGUUUAAUUCGAUGCAACGCGAAGAACCUUACCUACUCUUGACAUCCAGCGAAUCCUUUAGAGAUAGAGGAGUGCCUUCGGGAACGCUGAGACAGGUGCUGCAUGGCUGUCGUCAGCUCGUGUUGUGAAAUGUUGGGUUAAGUCCCGCAACGAGCGCAACCCUUAUCCUUUGUUGCCAGCACGUAAUGGUGGGAACUCAAAGGAGACUGCCGGUGAUAAACCGGAGGAAGGUGGGGAUGACGUCAAGUCAUCAUGGCCCUUACGAGUAGGGCUACACACGUGCUACAAUGGCAGAUACAAAGAGAAGCGACCUCGCGAGAGCAAGCGGAACUCAUAAAGUCUGUCGUAGUCCGGAUUGGAGUCUGCAACUCGACUCC
rnacentral:rRNA from 1 species